GAAAUGCGAUAAGUAAUGUGAAUUGCAGAAUUCAGUGAAUCAUCGAAUCUUUGAACGCACAUUGCGCCCGCCAGUAUUCUGGCGGGCAUGCCUGUUCGAGCGUCAUUUCAACCCUCAGGCCCCCAGUGCCUGGCGUUGGAGAUCGGCCGUACGGCUGCAGCCCUCCGGGGAUGCGCGCCGGGCCGGCUCCGAAAUCUAGUGGCGGUCUCGCUGUAGUCCUCCUCUGCGUAGUAGCACAACCUCGCAGUUGGAACGCGGCGGUGGCCAUGCCGUUAAACACCCCACUUCUGAAAGUUGACCUCGGAUCAGGUAGGAAUACCCGCUGAACUUAA
rnacentral:misc_RNA from 1 species